rnacentral:rRNA from 1 species
GGGGAAUUUUGGACAAUGGGGGAAACCCUGAUCCAGCAAUGCCGCGUGAGUGAAGAAGGCCUUCGGGUUGUAAAGCUCUUUUGUCAGGGAAGAAACACCGGCUCUAACACAGUCCGGGAAUGACGGUACCUGAAGAAUAAGCACCGGCUAACUACGUGCCAGCAGCCGCGGUAAUACGUAGGGUGCGAGCGUUAAUCGGAAUUACUGGGCGUAAAGCGUGCGCAGGCGGUUAUACAAGACAGGCGUGAAAUCCCCGGGCUUAACCUGGGAAUGGCGCCUGUGACUGU